UGCGUAGGCGGGCUAAUAAGUCAGUGGUGAAAUCUUCCGGCUCAACCGGGAACCUGCCAUUGAUACUGUUAGUCUUGAGUUCGGCUGGGGUAGGCGGAAUGUGUAAUGUAGCGGUGAAAUGCUUAGAUAUUACACAGAACACCAAUUGCGUAGGCAGCUUACUAGACCGACACUGACGCUGAGGCACGAAAGCGUGGGGAGCGAACAGGAUUAGAUACCCUGGUAGUCC
rnacentral:rRNA from 1 species